GGGGCCGUAGCUCAAUUGGUAGAGCGCCUGCUUUGCAAGCAGGAGGUCGCGGGUUCGAUUCCCGCCGGCUCCA
rnacentral:tRNA from 1 species